UUAAACGCAAUGACGAAGAAAAGUAGCUUAUUUUGAAUCUUUCAGAGAACCGCGCCAUGGCUGGAAGCGCGGCAGAUGAAAUUUAAGCGAAGUUCCCUUACGAGCGGCUGUGCCGAAAGAUAUUUCAAUUAAGCGCAGACGAAUUGAGCAGCGUUAAAAGCUCAAAGAGUGUUUGCUUGGAUUUUAAACUCUUUGCAAAAAUAAGGGUGGUACCGCAGGUAUUAACAUACUUGUCCCUAGU
rnacentral:ncRNA from 1 species